AAAUAGGGUAGUUUAAAAAAAAAUGUUGGAUUGUCAAUCCUAAGAUAUCUCAGAUGAUUCCUGUUUA
rnacentral:tRNA from 1 species